GGGGUGAGAACACGUGAGUAACCUGCCCUCGACUUCGGGAUAACUCCGGGAAACCGGGGCUAAUACCGGAUAUGAGCCGUCCUCGCAUGGGGGUGGUUGGAAAGUUUUUCGGUCAGGGAUGGGCUCGCGGCCUAUCAGCUUGUUGGUGGGGUGAUGGCCUACCAAGGCGACAACGGGUAGCCGGCCUGAGAGGGCGACCGGCCACACUGGGACUGAGACACGGCCCAGACUCCUACGGGAGGCAGCAGUGGGGAAUAUUGCACAAUGGGCGAAAGCCUGAUGCAGCGACGCCGCGUGAGGGAUGAAGGCCUUCGGGUUGUAAACCUCUUUCAGCAGGGAAAAAACGCAAGUGACGGUACCUGCAAAAAAAGCGCCGGCUAACUACUUGCCAGCAACCGCGGUAAUACUUAGGGCGCAAGCGUUGUCCGGAAUUAU
rnacentral:rRNA from 1 species